GCAGUCUGAGACACAAUGGAGUGUAGAGGCCGUAGACCUGUCUGCUAUCUGCAGACUGUCUAACAGACAAAUUAACUCCACUAAAGCAAGCAGACUGUGCCGCAGUGGUGGAAAAAAUACCCAAUUGUCCUACUUAAAAGUAAAGAUCCCUUAUUAGAACAUGAGGCAAGUAAAAGUGAAAGUCACACAGUAAAAUAGGGCGGCAGGUAGCCUAGUGGUUAGAGACAGGUAGCCUCGUGGUUAGAGACAGGUAGCCUCGUGGUUAGAGACAGGUAGCCUCGUGGUUAGAGACAGGUAGCCUAGUGGUUAGAGACAGGUAGCCUCGUGGUUAGAGACAGGUAGCCUCGUGGUUAGAGACAGGUAGCCUCGUGGUUAGAGACAGGUAGCCUAGUGGUUAGAGACAGGUAGCCUCGUGGUUAGAGACAGGUAGCCUCGUGGUUAGAGACAGGUAGCCUCGUGGUUAGAGACAGGUAGCCUCGUGGUUAGAGACAGGUAGCCUAGUGGUUAGAGACAGGUAGCCUCGUGGUUAGAGACAGGUAGCCUCGUGGUUAGAGACAGGUAGCCUAGUGGUUAGAGACAGGUAGCCUAGUGGUUAGAGACAGGUAGCCUCGUGGUUAGAGACAGGUAGCCUAGUGGUUAGAGACAGGUAGCCUCGUGGUUAGAGACAGGUAGCCUCGUGGUUAGAGACAGGUAGCCUCGUGGUUAGAGACAGGUAGCCCCGUGGUUAGAGACAGGUAGCCCCGUGGUUAGAGACAGGUAGCCUCGUGGUUAGAGACAGGUAGCCUCGUGGUUAGAGACAGGUAGCCUCGUGGUUAGAGACAGGUAGCCUCGUGGUUAGAGACAGGUAGCCCCGUGGUUAGAGACAGGUAGCCUCGUGGUUAGAGACAGGUAGCCUCGUGGUUAGAGACAGGUAGCCUCGUGGUUAGAGACAGGUAGCCAAGUGGUAAGAGACAGGUAGCCAAGUGGUAAGAGACAGGUAGCCUCGUGGUUAGAGACAGGUAGCCUCGUGGUUAGAGACAGGUAGCCUCGUGGUUAGAGACAGGUAGCCUCGUGGUUAGAGACAGGUAGCCUCGUGGUUAGAGACAGGUAGCCUCGUGGUUAGAGACAGGUAGCCUCGUGGUUAGAGACAGGUAGCCUCGUGGUUAGAGACAGGUAGCCUCGUGGUUAGAGACAGGUAGCCUCGUGGUUAGAGACAGGUAGCCUCGUGGUUAGAGACAGGUAGCCUAGUGGUUAGAGACAGGUAGCCUAGUGGUUAGAGACAGGUAGCCUAGUGGUUAGAGCGUUGGACUAGUAACUGAAUGGUUGCAAGAUCGAAUCCCUGAGCUGACAAGGUAAAAAUCUGUUGCUCUGUCCUGUUCUACCUACUGUUCCUAGGCUGUCAUUGAAAAUAAAUAUUUGUUCUUAACUGACGUGCCUAGUUAAAUAAAGGUAAAAUGUAAAAAAAUAUUACUAGCAUAAAAGUCUAAAAGCAUUUGGUUUUAAAUAUACUUAAGUAUCAAAAGUAAAAAUAAUUUCAAAUUGCUUUUAAUUUUGCAAACCAGAUGGCACCAUUUUCUAGUUUUUUGUUUGUUUAUGGAGAGCCAGGGGCACACUCCAACACUCCAACAUCAUUUACCUAUAGCCAGGGGCACACUCCAACACUCAGACAUAAUUUACCUAUAGCCAGGGGCACACUCCAACACUCAGACAUAA